GAGAUAAGCACUGUGUGCACACUCGAUAAUAAUGUGAUCAAACUGCUGCAUAGUCUACCGCAAGGCGAGCAAUCAACACCUUGAGGCGGAAGGUGAAGAGGUUGUGGUUCCGGCUCCACCACUACCCGUGUGACCCUGGAUCUGAACUGCAGAGGGUCAUUCUGCCCUUGAAAAGAAACCAAGAUAAAAGGAAACAGCUCUCAGGAAUUAUAAGCAAAACACAACCAGACACUCACUGCGGAUUGCCCCAUUUUCCACCUCUUUAGUAAGUGGUUUGGCUUUUAGUGCAUUGCAGAUAUAUGUGCUUGGGUAGCCCUUUUCUUUGCAACGGGAUUUGAUUCUCCUUAUUCUUUUCCUGUCUAUGCCUAGUAAGUCUUGAAAAUCCUUCACUUCUUCAUUCCACAGAUGUUUACUGAAUGCCUGCUAUGUGCAAGAUACUGAUUCUUCCUCUGCUGUGACUUUUGGAUAAUCCAGACUUGAAUUGAG
rnacentral:lncRNA from 1 species